rnacentral:rRNA from 1 species
UCCUACGGGGGCAGCAGUAGGGAAUCUUCCACAAUGGGCGAAAGCCUGAUGGAGCAACGCCGCGUGGGUGAAGAAGGUCUUCGGAUCGUAAAACCCUUUUGUUAGAGAAGAAAGUGCGUGAGAGUAACUGUUCACGUUUCGACGGUAUCUAACCAGAAAGCCACGGCUAACUACGUGCCAGCAGCCGCGGUAAUACGUAGGCGGCAAGCGUUAUCCGGAUUUAUUGGGCGUAAAGGGAACGCAGGCGGUCUUUUUAGUCUGAUGUGAAAGCCUUCGGCUUAACCGGAGUAGUGCAUUGGAAACUG